rnacentral:lncRNA from 1 species
UGCGGUUUGGUUGGGCGUGUCAAGCGGUUCGGUAGGGCGCGCAGUGCGGUUCAGCAAUGUCCGAAUUGCGAGUGCUCCGAAUCCCUAUGGGUGCUUUCACCAUGGAGAGAAAAUGGUUAAAACCGAACGAGGUCCAGCAUGGUGGCCGGAUGGGAGGACCAGCGAGGUCCAGCAUGGUGCAUACGAAAAACAGAGGCUCCCCCGGGAUCCUAUGCCUGUCUUCGGGUCCGGAUUUGUCGAUCCGUGGGAUCCGAGGUGGUGAUCACUAUCAAGUGCAAUCUGCUGAAGUCGCGGCUAUGCAAUUCAUUUAGGGUGCUUCGGUGUGUAGUUCAAUAAUUUUUAUAUAAUUUUUGGAAAAUCAUUUGCAGUGCGCCCAG